rnacentral:tRNA from 1 species
UCCCUGGUGGCUCAGUUUGUAAAGAGUCGGCCUGCAAUGCAGGAGACCCAGGUUUGAUCCCUGGCUGGGGAA